ACGGUAAAGUGGCGGAGUGGAUGGGAAUAGUAGGUUGUGACGGCGGCGGAACAAAACCAGAAGGUGCGGUCGACGGCGGAAACGAAAAGGUAGAGGGAGCGGCCGUCGAAGGCAUCCCCAUACUAAAAGUCUGCUGCAAUGGUGGAACAGAAACCGAAGGGUUCGUUGGAGGCACUAUGGUUGACUGUAGCGGAUUCUGAAUAGUAGGUGGAACGGCUACCGAGGAUGUAGUAUU
rnacentral:lncRNA from 1 species